GGCUUGAUAGCUCACAUGAUAGUAGAGCAUUGCACCAGUAUCACAAGGUCCCGGGUUCGAAUCCCAUGUCAAGCCU